GGGGGGGGGUUCUCAAAAUGUCAAGACUUUUCCACUUUGUCGUUGGACCAUCUAUUAUAACUAUAAAGGAGGUUGAAGCAUCCCUAUGAUGCGUGGGAUCGUUGAUAUGUGCUCACGGGUGCUGUACGACCGGCUAUGGGAGCAGUCUGUCUUGGUGACAGCACCACAUAGACCAGAUCUACAGGCCUACACUCCUAUCAGGGAUCUGUUUGAAGGCCAUUAUCUCUUGGCUUUCUCAAGGUGGAGUUAUGGUAUGCUUCCAGUCCAUUUGUACCAGACCCUGUACAUCUGUAAGGACCAUGUCUCCAGUCUGGUCUAGUCUGAAUCCUACUAAAAGCACACAGCCUUUGUAUUGUCUCCCCUCGCUCCUCCACCACACUCAUCUCUAGUUUACAGUGGAUAUCAUGAAAAAUACCCCUGGUUUUUCUAUAUCCCUCCCUCCUCCCUUUCUCUCUUUGGUCUCUCUCUCUCGCUGUCUUCCUCCCAUUAUCGUCUCUCACUCUCUGGUCCCCCCUCCCAUCUCUCUCCUGGUUCAGUCCAGGUCCCUGUCUCUAACACAAUCAUCUCUCCUGGUUCAGUCCAGGUCCCUGUCUCUAACACAAUCAUCUCUCCUGGUUCAGUCCAGGUCCCUGUCUAACACAAUCACCUCUCCUGGUUCAGUCCAGGUCUCUAACACAAUCAUCUCUCCUGGUUCAUUUACAUUUACAUUUUAGUCAUUUAGCAGACGCUCUUAUCCAGAGCGACUUACAGUAGUGAAUGCAUACAUUAAAUUUUUUUUUUUUUUUCUGUGCUGGCCCCCCGUGGGAAUCGAACCCACAACCCUGGCGUUGCAAACACCAUGCUCUACCAACAGAGCUACAGGGAAGGUCUCUAACACAAUCCCCUCUCCUGGUUCAGUCCAGGUCUCUAACACAAUCCCCUCUCCUGGUUCAGCCCAGGUCUCUGUCUCUAACACAAUCCCCUCUCCUGGUUCAGUCCAGGUCCCUGUCUAACACAAUCAUCUCUCCUGGUUCAGUCCAGGUCUCUAACACAAUCCCCUCUCCUGGUUCAGUCCAGGUCCCUGUCUCUAACACAA
rnacentral:lncRNA from 1 species